UAGGGAAUCUUCCGCAAUGGACGCAAGUCUGACGGAGCAACGCCGCGUGAGUGAAGAAGGAUUUCGGUUCGUAAAACUCUGUUGUUAGAGAAGAACAGCGCAUAGAGUAACUGUUAUGCGUGUGACGGUAUCUAACCAGAAAGCCCCGGCUAACUACGUGCCAGCAUCCGCGGUAAUACGUAGGUGGCAAGCGUUGUCCGGGUUUAUUGGGCGUAAAGCGAGCGCAGGCGGUCAAUUAAGUCUGAUGUGAAAGCCCCCGGCUCAACCGGGGAGGGUCAUUGGAAACUGGUUGAAUUGAGUGCAGAAGAGGAGAGUGGAAUUCCAUGUGUAGCGGUGAAAUGCGUAGAUAUAUGGAGGAACACCAGUGGAGAAGGCGACUCUCUGGUAUGUAACUGACGCAGAGGCUCGAAAGCGUGGGUAGCAAACAGG
rnacentral:rRNA from 1 species